UACGGGCAGCCUUGAAGCCCUAGUGGAAUAAUUUCAACUAGAUUCUAUGGAAAAUUAGAUAUGACAGUGUAGGAGGGCUUAUCUUCUAACUGAAGCCAGCUGGGAAUUUUUCCUGAUAGAGUCAAGGGCAGGGCAGAGUGAGGGCCUUUGGUAGCAUGUGCAAAUGUACACACGUGUAGCUAGUGUGUGUGGCCCACCAUGCUUCUAACCUACCUUUACCUCUUCUAGUUCUUCAGAUCUCUUAACCCUGUUGUCUGUGAGCAUGGACAAUCCGGGCCUUACACAGACAAGACCACAGUGUGCCAUCUUGUCAGAAGGAGAAACUGGGGCACUCUAUUCUAAAGAGGCUGGUUCUAGGACUUCUUUCUCCACUGUGGAAUAAGACCCAGAGUCUUACUGCCAGGCCCCCUCCUUCAGGCAUCUGGCUUCUAAAGUUAGUUCUUUUCCUUUAUCUCAUAAAGAGGGAAAGGAUGUGCCUAAGAGAGGUUAUUUGGACGAAUGGCCAUUGUAACUGCCUCCUAUCAACACGGGUGGAUAGAGGCAGGUGUGGGGAAGAGGGCUGCCUGGAUCUGGGGUUCUCAAUCCCCCAUACUCCUUGGCCUGUUGUUGAGGGGGAGCUAGAGGAGGGGUGCAGACUUAGCAGAUUAAGAAAGAUAAACGCUUACUCCUUAACAGUAGGAAAGAGGGAUGGAAGAGGAAGAUCGAAAUCUGAGGCAUGAGGAGUGGCCUAUCCUGGUGGAGGCAGGAGAGACACGUGUCCUCUACAUGCCCAUCCAAGUCUCUGAUAGGGUGGUCCUUGCUCUGAGGGAAGAGUGUGGGCCACAGGCCACGGGGAGGCUCUGAGGUUGUGGGUGCUCCCCGAUCCCCUCUCCAGAGCUGCUACCAUUGUCUUUGCCCUUGGAGUGCUCUCCUCCCACCCCCACUGCCUCUUGUUCUCUUUCUCCCUUGGGCCAUGAGAAUGGCAGGGAGCCCAGCCAGGGCCUGGACGGCGGCCUCAGCUCCCUGUUCUCAAUAACUGUGUGUGUAUGCAUGUGUGCAUGUGUGCGUGUGUAUGUGUGAGUGCCUGUGUGUGUGCGCAUGUGUGUAGAGGCUGGGGUUGGGGUCAACAACAGAUCACAGCACAGGAGUAGAGAGCUUCUGGGAGGGUGGGGUCACCCAUGGGUCACGCCCUGCACCCUGGAGCCCAGAGGACCCUUCGCUCAAACCCACCGCCAGCUGACAACACGGGAGCAGCCAGAGCGACUUUCUUCGCUGCCCAGAGGAGCCUGGGAGAAGCCGGAGGUGCUUGAGGAUGGAUUCCUGGCUCCUGGUGCAUUGCCACUCCCUGCCACCCUCCUCCAUGUCUUCUAUCUUCUCCUGGUGGCGUCAGGCCUUGCUUCAUGUUCCAACAGAAGCCUCUGGGGCUGGCACAGCACUCGCUGCCUACAACCUGGGCCUGGUGGUUCUCCUAGGGUGCCUCUGGGAGGUCAUGGCCACCCCGCUGCUGGAUAACUGCAGCUACUUCUGCCAGCCAGUGGACUACAGAUGGAGUGAGCAUGGAAUGAGGGUAUGGCAGGGAGCAGGAAGCAAGCCUGGAGAGGGUUAGGAGGGACAACUUCAUAACAAUCAGAGGUCAAGGAGGUAUCACCUGAGCCUUUUGAUGAGAGCCAGGGGACUGGCUGGUUAUGUGCAGGCUUUGGAGUCAGAUAACCUCGGACCUUGGUUUGAAUCUCAGCUCUGCCAGUUACUUGCUGUGCGACUCGGUGGCACACCUAACUCUUCUAGGACUCAAUUUUCUUAUUUAUAAAAUUGAGAUAAUAACACCUAUUUUAUAAAGGGAAAUGAUUGAAAGAAGAUGGAAUCAGCUAAUAUAUGAUAGACAAUAUAUGGAAAUGUUUAGCACAGGGGCCAGCACACACUGAGUGGUAGCUAAGUGGUAGUGAUUUCAUCACUGUUAGCUGUUCUCUGUUUCAACUAGAAGCAGAACAAAAGGCUUCCUGUAACAGAAGACUCCAGCUGAAGCCUGUCACCAGGUAGCUGAGGCUUGUCACCAGGUGAUAUGGAUGUUGAGUCACUGGAUGUUGGUGAUGGGCUCAAGUCCUGUGACUCAAAGUAUGAUCCUUGGGCCGGCGGCAGCAGCAGCAUCAUCUGGGAGCCGGUUGGAAAUGCAGAAGCUGUACUCCACCCCAGGCACACUGAUGAAGAGUCUUCUUUCAACAAACAAGAUGCCCACAUGCUCAUUAGAUUCCAGGGUUCUGGGCUGGGGCACACUUGGGGAGUCCUUCUGUGGUCACGCCAGUAGCUUCUCCCCUUUUUGCCUGUGCGAACAGGCAUCUUCCUGCAGACAGGUAGGCACUGUGGAAUCAGCGGUGCAUAGAACAGUGAGGAUUUGGGGCUGAACUCAGCCCAGGUGGGACAAGCUGUGGCACCAGCCGGACUGCAAUCUGAUGGAACUUCCCCGUCCUGCCCAGCAGAUGGCGAGCCUGUGCUGCUGGUGCCUCUUUCCAAAGGCCGUUGAAUUGCUUGACAGGUAAGAUCCCGGACACAUGGGCUCCUGUAUA